rnacentral:RNase_P_RNA from 4 species
GAAGCAAGCCAGACAGCCGCUGGCCAGCGCGUAAUGCCUGGCGGGAGGAAGGUCCGGACUCCAUAGAGCGGGGUGACGGUUAACGGCCGUCCGCUGAAAGCCUACUCCAGUGUACUUGUACGCUGGAGGGGGUAUAAGGCGAGGAAUAGGGCCACAGAGACGAGCGUAUUAAGUUACGGUGAAACGCGGUAACCUCCACCUGGUGCAAUUCCAAAUAGGCACGCGAUGAUGCUGCUCGCGGAGCGUGCGGGUAGGAAGCUUGAGCGCUGGAGUAAUCCAGCGCCUAGAGGAAUGGCUGUCAUAGCGCGGGUUCGCCUGCGCCGUAACAAAAUCCGGCCUAUCGGCUUGCUUCAACU